rnacentral:rRNA from 1 species
GACGAACGCUGGCGGCGUGCGUAAUACAUGCAAGUAGAACGCUGAGGACUGGUGCUUGCACCGGUCCAAGGAGUUGCGAACGGGUGAGUAACGCGUAGGUAACCUACCUCAUAGCGGGGGAUAACUAUUGGAAACGAUAGCUAAUACCGCAUAAAAGUGUUUAACCCAUGUUAAACAUUUAAAAGGUGCAAUUGCAUCACUAUGAGAUGGACCUGCGUUGUAUUAGCUAGUUGGUGAGGUAACGGCUCACCAAGGCGACGAUACAUAGCCGACCUGAGAGGGUGAUCGGCCACACUGGGACUGAGACACGGCCCAGACUCCUACGGGAGGCAGCAGUAGGGAAUCUUCGGCAAUGGACGGAAGUCUGACCGAGCAACGCCGCGUGAGUGAAGAAGGUUUUCGGAUCGUAGAACUCUGUUGUUAGAGAAGAAUGAUGGUGGGAGUGGAAAAUCCACCAUGUGACGGUAACUAACCAGAAAGGGACGGCUAACUACGUGCCAGCAGCCGCGGUAAUACGUAGGUCCCGAGCGUUGUCCGGAUUUAUUGGGCGUAAAGCGAGCGCAGGCGGUUCUUUAAGUCUGAAGUUAAAGGCAGUGGCUCAACCAUUGUACGCUUUGGAAACUGGAGAACUUGAGUGCAGAAGGGGAGAGUGGAAUUCCAUGUGUAGCGGUGAAAUGCGUAGAUAUAUGGAGGAACACCGGUGGCGAAAGCGGCUCUCUGGUCUGUAACUGACGCUGAGGCUCGAAAGCGUGGGGAGCAAACAGG